GAUUUUUAAACAGUUACACAAAGUAAUCCUCAUAGCAUCUACCCAUUUAGACAACCCAAAUUGUUCUUAGUAUUGAACUCCCUGGCAGGUGCUGCAAGAGCUCUCCCGGUUGAGCGAAUGUUUUUCUUUCAACUAUCGGUGUUGCUUAGUCGUCUGCGCAGUAAGUAUUAAACUUCCGUCGAAUGCUGCAAGAGCCCUCCUGGUCAAGCGAUCUUGGCCUUUCCAUCCGACUACCGGCGAACCUGACCAGUCCGUGUCGUGAGUAUUGAGCUCCCACUAGAUGCCGUCAAGAGCCUCCCGGCUACACUCCCUUAUUUUAAAAUAAAUAAAUAAAUAAAUAAAUAAAAUAAAUAAAUUAAUAAAAGCUUCACUGUCUGGCCAAAUACUGGCCAGUCAACUUUACCUUUCCAUCUUAUGUUCGGAGAGGCUUACCCGUUUGAUGUCGCGAGUAUUUACCUCCCACCAGACGUCGGCGAGAGCCUCCUGCCUAGACAACAUUACUUUUCCUUUCUACGGUCGGCGAGGCUUACCCGUUCGGUGCUGCGAGUAUUGAGCUCCUGUCGGAUGUCGGCGAGAGUCUCCCGGCUAGACAACUUACUUUUUUCAUCAUAUGGUCAACAAAGGCUUACCCGUCUGAUGCUGUGAGUAUUGAGCUUUUUCCUCCUACAGUCAGCGAGGCUUACCCGUUCGAUGCCUUGAGUAUUGAGCUCCCAUCGUACGCCGGCUAGAGCCUCAUGACAACACAACUUUACCUUUCCGUCUUACGUCCGGAGAGGCUUAUCCGUUCGGUGCCUUGAGUAUUGAGCUCCCAUCGUACGCCGGCGAGAGCCUCAUGACAACACAACUUUACCUUUCCGUCUUACGUCCGGAGAGGCUUAUCCGUUCGGUGCCUUGAGUAUUGAGCUCCCAUCGGAUGUCGGCAAGAGCCUCCCGGCUAGACAACCUUACCUUUUCCUUUCUACGGUCGACGAGGCUUACCCGUUCGAUGCCUUGAGUAUUGAGCUCCCAUCGGACGUCGGCGAGAGUCUCACGGCUACCUAACUUUCGUUCCUGUUGACGGGU
rnacentral:lncRNA from 1 species